CCAGCAGCCGCGGUAAUACGGUGGCAAGCGUUAUCCGGAAUUAUUGGGCGUAAAGCGUCCGCAGGCGGUCUUUUAAGUCUGUUGUUAAAGCGUGGAGCUUAACUCCAUUUCAGCAAUGGAAACUGGAAGACUAGAGUGUGGUAGGGGCAGAGGGAAUUCCCGGUGUAGCGGUGAAAUGCGUAGAUAUCGGGAAGAACCCCAGUGGGGAGGCGCUCGCUGGCCAUAACUGACGUCAUGACGAAAGCAGGGAGCGAAAGGGAUAGAUACCCCGUAGUCCUGCCGUAAACCGAUGACCAUAGGUGUCGGGGAAUCGACCCCCUCCGGUGUCGUAGCCAACGCGUAAGUGUUCCGCCUGGGGAGUACGCACGCAAGUGUGAAACUCAAAGGAAUUGACGGGGGCCCGCACAAGCGGUGGAGUAUGUGGUUUAAUUCGAUGCAACGCGAAGAACCCUUACAGGGUUUGACAUCCUGCGAAUCCCUUGGAAACGAGGGAGUGCCAUCGGGAACGCAGUGACAGGUGGUGCAUGGCUGUCGUCAGCUCGUGUCGUGAGAUGUUGGGUUAAGUCCCGCAACGAGCGCAACCCACGUCGUUAGUUGCCAGCAUUCAGUUGGGCACUCUAGCGAGACCGCCGGUGAUAAACCGGAGGAAGGUGUGGAUGACGUCAAGUCAUCAUGCCCCUUACAUCCUGGGCUACACACGUACUACAAUGCUACGGACAAAGGGCAGCAAACUCGCGAGAGCUAGCAAAUCCCAUAAACCGUGGCUCAGUUCAGAUCGUAGGCUGCAACUCGCCUACGUGAAGGAGGAAUCGCUAGUAAUCGCAGGUCAGCAUACUGCGGUGAAUACGUUCCCGGGCCUUGUACACACCGCCCGUCACACCAUGGAAGUUGGCCACGCCCGAAGCCGUUACUCCAACCCUUGUGGAGGAGGACGUCGAAGGUGGGGCUGAUGACUGGGGUGAAGUCGUAACAAGGUAGCCGAU
rnacentral:rRNA from 1 species